CUGCUAGAGUUAAAAACAAACAUAAAUUUCCACUACAGAUGCAAGAAAAACAUGUUCUUGCGCUUUCUGUCUGUCUGAUUGUGGCAACUGAGAUCGAAUAGAGGAAUACAGGG
rnacentral:snoRNA from 1 species